AUUUUUGACUCAAAGUGUUUAUUUGCUGCCAACAACCAAGCUGUAAAUCAUCCUGUUAGAGCUUUCCUUUUCGAAGAAAACAAAAACAAACUGUAGAACUACGGUGCACUCCAAGUGCCAUAUAUCUAUUUUAUUCUUCAGGAAAUUGUAUUUGUUUUUCUUUUACAAGAGCACAACAGGAACCAAAGUAAAAGAGUAAUAGAUACAGCACUCAGGAUAAAUCAUAUCUUUAAAAUAAUAACAGAAAAAUUUACACCUUGUCCUAUAUCCUGUUAGUAUUUUCAUAUGGCCAUGAUUGAAAAAACAAAAAGCAAGCAUUUACAAUUUUUUUUUGAUAAAGGCUUUUUAUGCCAGGAAUGGAUUAAUUGUCAACAAAAUUUUAUACUAAUCAGACUGAUGUAAAACUAUUUUGGUAGCAUACCAUUAACAAAUUUAUUUUGGAAAUAGAUAAAAAUAUUGCCCCUUGAUAAUAAAUCUUUUUGUUCCUUUGAUGCAAACAGCUACAAUGCCUUUUUCUUUUUUUUUUGAUAUUCUAAGACAAAAAAAAUGGUUAAUCUUCAGAUUAAUAAAUUAGGUCAUUAUAAUAAUAAAUUAAUUUUUUUUAAAGUUCAGCAACCUCUGUCCAAGUAUUUACAACAAUACUUGAAAGUUCCUUUACAAAACAGAACACAUUUUCUUUUCACAUUAAGCAUACUGGGUAUCUGUGUCUUUCACAACAAGCAUUUUUAAAAGAAAAAUCAAUGCACAAAUGGGUCAUUAGUAUAAAAGUGCUAAGAGCUGUUUGAAAAGUUAACACUAUAGUAUACAGUCAGUUAUAUUUGAGGCAAACUACAACAAACUUCCAGCUUAUUGUGGACAAUAUUCCAGUAGUUGUUUCAAACAGUUGUUUGAAAAAAUAAAUCCAGGAGCUGAUUAAUGAUGCAGAUAAAAACUGCCAUCAAUAUCUCUGGCUAGUGAGCAAAUUGAAAACCAACUGAAAGCAAAUCCAAAUGAAGAAGACUGUAAUAAAGGAAUAUCUUCUCCACAGCAGGUGUGAUGCUGGCUGCUCAGGUGCGUGCGUGUGCACGCGCGCACGCACACACACACACACUCUCACUCACACAAACAUCUCCCCAAUUAAACUGCAGGUAGAAUGAGAUUUUGUGUUAUUCAAAAAAAAUCUAAGUGAUCAAAAGCACUGAUAUGGAAUGCCUGUUUAUCUGCCUUUGUUCUGGUUAAAAUCUCAAAAAUACAUUCAACAGGAAAACAUAAAAUGUAUGUGUAUAAAUAUAUAUGCAUAUAUAUAUUAUAUACACAUGCACACAAAUACUUUUGUUUUUCGAAGCAUAAGAUAGUUACAUAAAUAUUCC
rnacentral:lncRNA from 1 species